CUGCACGGCCAAGCCAGUGGGGAAUAUUUGGCAUCAAAUGGCCGCCAGCCUGAUGCAGCGACGCCCGCGUGAGGGAUGACGGCCUUCGGGUGUAAACCUCUUUCAGUACCGACGAAGCGCAAGUGACGGUAGGUACAGAAGAAGGACCCGGCCAAACUACGUGCCAGCAGCCGCGGUAAUACGUAGGGUCCGAGCGUUGUCCGGGAAUUACUGGGCGUAAAGAGCUCGUAGGUGGUUUGUCGCGUUGUUCGUGAAAACUCACAGCUUAACUGUGGGCGUGCGGGCGAUACGGGCAGACUAGAGUACUGCAGGGGAGACUGGAAUUCCUGGUGUAGCGGUGGAAUGCGCAGAUAUCAGGAGGAACACCGGUGGCGAAGGCGGGUCUCUGGGCAGUAACUGACGCUGAGGAGCGAAAGCGUGGGGAGCGAACAGGAUUAGAUACCCUGGUAGUCCACGCCGUAAACGGUGGGUACUAGGUGUGGGUUUCCUUCCUUGGGAUCCGUGCCGUAGCUAACGCAUUAAGUACCCCGCCUGGGGAGUACGGCCGCAAGGCUAAAACUCAAAGGAAUUGACGGGGGCCCGCACAAGCGGCGGAGCAUGUGGAUUAAUUCGAUGCAACGCGAAGAACCUUACCUGGGUUUGACAUGCACAGGACGCCGGCAGAGAUGUCGGUUCCCUUGUGGCCUGUGUGCAGGUGGUGCAUGGCUGUCGUCAGCUCGUGUCGUGAGAUGUUGGGUUAAGUCCCGCAACGAGCGCAACCCUUGUCUCAUGUUGCCAGCACGUUAUGGUGGGGACUCGUGAGAGACUGCCGGGGUCAACUCGGAGGAAGGUGGGGAUGACGUCAAGUCAUCAUGCCCCUUAUGUCCAGGGCUUCACACAUGCUACAAUGGCCGGUACAAAGGGCUGCGAUGCCGUAAGGUGGAGCGAAUCCUUUCAAAGCCGGUCUCAGUUCGGAUCGGGGUCUGCAACUCGACCCCGUGAAGUCGGAGUCGCUAGUAAUCGCAGAUCAGCAACGCUGCGGUGAAUACGUUCCCGGGCCUUGUACACACCGCCCGUCACGUCAUGAAAGUCGGUAACACCCGAAGCCGGUGUGCACUAGUCCGACCUGUGGCACAGAGUCAGGACGACUUAGAAAUCCC
rnacentral:rRNA from 1 species